AGCGAGGGUCCGGGGACCCGGAAGCGGCCUUCAAAAGAGGACCGAGGUGGUCUCAAUGAAAGUAGGUGUUGAGUAAAUUUGAUAUGAUUCAAUGAAAGGAUAUACCAUACUUACGUUUGUUAUCUUCAUUAUUAUUCUUUUGUUCCUCGUAUUGUUUUUCUGUUUUCUUUUUAGAUUAAUUGAUUAAUCUCUUACCAAAUUAAGGUAAAUUAAAUGAUCGAGGAUUAGGGGAUUAAGUCCUGCAAAAGCUACAACAAAACAAAAACAAGCAGUGUUGAAAUUUUCAACUGAGACCAUAUUCUGGCAUUGAAAGUUUGAUAUAACGCUGCAUUUAAUGAUUGAACUUUAGCUUUACAUAUUAUAUCAGUUAAAAAAAUUUACAGACUCCUGAUUUGUUUUAAUAUCUACCUUUUUUAUGCAGUAAAUGGCAGGGGAAACCGGGACUUGCUGACUCACUUUUUACACUCUUAUAUGUUUCUUGGAAUCAAUACAUCAUGUAAAAGCAAAAUGCGUACCAAAUGAAAGACCAAAGUCUCAGGUAUAUAUUUUCGUAUUCAUGUCAUUUUCAUAUCUUGUGUCAGUGCAGAGUUAUAAGCAAUCAAACAGAGAGUGUGAACAUGUGACAUGUUGCCCCCAUAGAAUGUGUAUAGAAUGGACAGCGUCUGCCUCCUCGCUGGGUGAAGCCACUCCGAGAACAGCACCCUCUGGUAACGGGCUGCAGUAUAGGUCACGAAUCCCACCUCCGCCUCCGCCAGCAAAACUUAUGGGGAUGUGGACAAACUUUAGAAAUUUAUGACACAGAAUAUACAAUUUUCUCCCCCCUGCUUACGAUGUUGACAUGUAGUUACUGUAAGAGUGGUUUGUGCUCAAGUCUUCUUUUGUCUGUACAGCUCUAUUUUUAAAAGUUAUUAGGGGGUUCAUGUUUUCUAUGAUUGACACCUGAUACAGCCUAUGGGCAUACGAAGAUUGCGUAGCUCACGCAGGGGAUACGCUGUUUGAGCCGAGCGUCAUCACAGCGACUCUCGGUGACUCUCCCGCCGAAUACGUACAAUGCUACCGCGCAAGUGGUGGUUUCAGGAAAU